rnacentral:rRNA from 1 species
AGUGAACGCUGGCGGUAGGCCUAACACAUGCAAGUCGAACGGCAGCACAGUAAGAGCUUGCCCUUACGGGUGGCGAGUGGCGGACGGGUGAGGAAUACAUCGGAAUCUACUUUUUCGUGGGGGAUAACGUAGGGAAACUUACGCUAAUACCGCAUACGACCUACGGGUGAAAGCAGGGGAUCUUCGGACCUUGCGCGAUUGAAUGAGCCGAUGUCGGAUUAGCUAGUUGGCGGGGUAAAGGCCCACCAAGGCGACGAUCCGUAGCUGGUCUGAGAGGAUGAUCGGCCGCACUGGAACUGAGACACGGUCAAGACUCCUACGGGAGGCAGCAGUGGGGAAUAUGGGACAAUGGGCGCAAGCCUGAUCCAGCCAUACCGCGUGGGUGAAGAAGGCCUUCGGGUUGUAAAGCCCUUUUGUUGGGAAAGAAAAGCAGCAGGUUAAUACCCCGCUGUUCUGACGGUACCCAAAGAAUAAGCACCGGCUAACUUCGUG